GUCCAUGGCCUUCUGGGAUGGAGCUUCGAUCACAUGCUCCAAACUGGGCAGGUCCAUCUUGCUGGAGGCGGCCACGGGCAGGCAAGACAUGAAGGUGGUUAGGUCUGCCAGGCCAAUGGCAGGCUGCGUGCUGAUUGCCCGUUCCAGGCUGUGUUUUGAGGCCUGGAUGAGCUUGUCAGCCCAGAAGAGGUCCUUGGAGGUCUGCACACAGAUGGAAUGGUAUUUGGUGGACAACUGGUCCUCCUCUGUGGGACUCAGGUAGCUGGAGUCUGAUCUCAUACUCCACUGGUUGAUGUCCUUUAGAGUUAGCCCCUCUGUGUGGGGCAGGAGGGGCUCUAUCAUAUACUCCUGCUGCCAAGGGUCUUCAUUACAGGGAGUCGCCUUCAACUUGGGCCCCACAUCCAGCUCAGCCUCAGGCUGCGGCAAAUCCUCAGGCUCUGGCUCCACAUCCGUCUCCAGUUCUGGGUCUACGUUCAGGUCCGAUUGGUCUGGGGGCUCCAGCUCUAGCAACUCGUUAUCCAGCUGAAAAGUGUCAACUGAAAGCUGAGGAGGCCUCUGCCCUUGAGGUCCUCCCUCGUGCCGUUCCCUGCCCCGCCCCCUCUCCCUCCCUCCCUGCCCUACUUUCCUACUGCUCACUUCCUCCCUAACUUGCCUCUGCAGAAGCCUGCCUGGGGCAGGGAGGCUGCAGCAGAUGGUAAGGGUGGGUGAGCAUGACUGUGCUAACCCUGGCCUGGACUAGGGGCCUGUCAAGGAUUUAGUGAAGAUGGGCUUCAAAGAACCCUGCCCCUUGCCUACCAGCUCCCCAUACCUCCAUCUCAUCUUCGUCUGGUACCAGCUGGAACCCGUGUUGGUUUAUGUUACCCCUAAGACAGAAGGAGACAGAGUGGGUAACAGGGCUUCAAGGCUUGGGGGCUGUGGCUCCUGGGGGAAGGGGAUUCUGGGGCCCUCAAGGCCCCCUGCCUUGGACAGGGGCUGGCCAGUGCCCCCAGCUCAGCCACUCCCCGGGCUGUCCCCACUCUGACCAAGCAUUCUGGAGUCCUAUUCUUGAAUCUUAGCAAGUUUAGGAAGUGCCUGGAGAGCUCACCAAGUCGCUCCCUGCUCCCAAAGAAGGAUCCUGUUGGUCGGCAGGAGGCCCAAUAAUCUUCAUUUUAAUCAAGCAUUGUAGUGAGCCAGUAGGGCUCACCCAGUGAAUUGUUACCCAGAAAGCUGCUCCCCACAGAGGGAGAAGCCCAGAGCAAUGUCCCCCGCCUGCCCCGCCCAGUUCCAGCAGAGGGGUGUGUGUGUAUGUGUGGAUGAUUCCCUCGGUCUGGUCGGCUGUUCGCUGCCAUCUCGGCUCCUGCCCUCAGCGCUCGGUCACUGUGACCUCCUUUCCUUCCUCGGGCACCUGCCCACGCCCACCUUAGACAGCUCUAAGGGGUCAGGUCCCAUCCAUGGGCACCCCUCCACCCCCACCCCCACCCCAGUCCUCCAAUGUCAGGGUCUGUAGGCAGAAGCAGAAGAGGGCGAUAGGACCCUCCCUUCUCUUCCCCCCUCCACCCACUAUGGCCUUUUGGUGUGGAUACUGCCCUUGGGGAGAUUUUGGAAACAGGCAAGAUGGAGGGAGAUAUUGGAUGGGGAGGGGAGGCACACGAAAGCUUGGCAGUGGUGGAAGGAGUAAGGGUUAGUGGCCCGGGGGUUAGGGGAGGUCCUUGGAUGAUGGGGACCAGGUCUCACUGUGUUUCCACAAUGUCCACCGAUUCCUUGCAACAGCAGGGAAAUCCACUGGCACCUGGCAAGGAGAAGGAGGUGAGGGCCAGGCUGCUGAGGGUGGGGGGACAUCCCUGAGGGGUUCUAGAGCCCAGGCCAGGGGUGCUGCUCUAGCCACCUUCUCCCUCCAACCCUGUCCCUUACCACCCUGCUUGCCACCCUUCUCCCGCCCUCCCUUGUCCCUGCUCUCGCUGGCCUGUGUCACCAGCCCUAUCUGCUGCCUUCCCCUGCCAUGACUGCUUUUCCUCCACCCCGUGCUGCGUAAGGAUGGGUGCUAAGAGAAUUCAUUCCAUUUAUUGAGUACUACUUGCCCAGGCCCUGGGCAGAGCACUUUCUGUGCUUUCUCUCAUUGAUUCAACAUAACAAAUGAGAAGAGAUUCAUUUGUCCGAGGUCCCUCAACUCAUCACUGCUGAAGUCAGGACUUGAACACAAGUUUGACUCUUCACUGCCUUGCAUGCUGUCCUACCCAGGAGUCUGUCACUGUGGGGACCCUAUCAUGCUUUGGUUGGCCUGUCUUCAUUUCUCUCUGUGCUUGCCUCUCUGGCCCCUUUCUCCAGUCUCUCUGGCCAGGCCCAAUAUCUCUCUCUCAUCCAAAUCCUGGCAUCUCCUACCCUGAAGACCAUCCUCUCUUCCUCAGGCAUCUCACCCCAUACACCCUGGGUUGUCCAUCCCCCAGGUCAGGCCACGGUUCUCACCCCAGGUAUUUAGGUGAUGCUGACACCUGUCUGGUAAUUUAUGAGCUCCAAUUCCCUCUGCAGGGCAGACUGAGUGAUCCCUUAGGAGAGAUCCCCCCACUCCAGUCCCUUCUCUGGUGACUUGUGUCUUUUACUGCAGAAGUUUCUUUUUCAUUCUCUGGAGGUGGGGCCACCACACUAUCCCAUUCUCUGCUACCUGAGGUACAGAUGGGGGCUGAUGCUGGGCCAUCAAGGCAAUGGGCAAGCUGGGUCCCCAUGAGCCUGGAGUGUGGCAGGAAAUGAGCGCCUUGGCUCCGGCUGAGAAGAACUGCUCCCAGGACUACAUCGGAAGGAUGAGAACGCGCCUCUUCCUAGAGAUGUAGAGGCUGGGGAGGGUCCUUGUGGGGCUGGUCCUGGGACUGGAAUGUGGGCACAUCCAUGUUCUGCCUGGGCCUGGGGAUCUUGGAUCAGCUGGGGGGCCGGGCUAGGGGCCCCCUCCACAGGCUAGGGGUCCCCCUCCAUGGGCAGGCUCCCAACCGUCAGCUCAGUGCUCUCUUCAGAGCCUCCGUCUCAACAACCACGCUCCCUUGGCUUCCCCCCCUCACCCGUCUCUCAAAUCCACGGGCCGCAAGUGUUGCUAUUCCCCAGGCUUCUGAUCUCAGAGCUUUGCUUGCUUUGCAGACUUUCUCUGGGCAACUUAAUCAACACCCACGGCCUUAAUCCUUCCAUGAACAGCCAUUGGCUGUGGAUAAGAAGGGAAAGUGCUAUGGUGUGAACCUCAUUUGUCAGCAGUUUGCUGCUAUCUUGGCCCUUGUCCUCAGCAGCACUGGAGGAUUGGAAGCAAAAGUCUGAGGUUGACUCAACUUGGGGACUUUGUGCCUAACUUUGGAAUGUUCUAUAGGGAGUCAAGUGACAUUCUGUAGGCAUGAAAUAAUUUUGAUUUUCAGUUGCUGGUUGCUAGUAUACAGAAUUGUAAACCCUGAAAUCACCCUAAAAUCCUAUUAUUUCUAGUUUCUUUUCUCUUCUUCCUUCCUUCCUUUUUUCUUUUCUUUAUUCUUUCUUUUUCUUCCUUCCUUCCUUUCUCUUUCUUUCUCCCCCUCCUUCCUCCCUUCCUUUCUUUCUUCUUUCUUUUCCAUAAGGUUUUUCUACAUACACAAUAAUGUGUGUCCUUCAAGACAGUUUUACUUCCCCUUUCCAAUCUGGAUGUCUCUUAUUUCCUUCUCUUGUUUGACAGCACUGAGAACACCAGUACCAGGAUGGACAGAACUGAGAGCGCGGGGGGCAGGCACUCAGUAUUUCGCCAUAAGUGUGAUGCUGGCUGUAGUUUUUGUCACUGGUGUUCUUUUUUAAGUUGAGGAAUUUCCCUUCUAUCCCUGAUUUACUUAGUUUUUAAUUAGGAACUGUUGUUGGAUUUUCUCUGAUACUUUUUCAACACUUAUUGUGACGAUCAUAUGGUUUUUCUUUCAGAUUCUAAUAUAUAUGCUAUAUAGAACAUGUUAUGUUAACAUAUGAAUAAUGUUAUAUUUUAAAAAUAAUUCUUUUAUGAUGGAUCAUUUUUAAAAUAUUAAAAUCAGCCUUACAUUCCUAGGAUAAAUCUCAUUUGGUCAUUCUAUACAUUGCUGAGUUUAAUUUGGUAACUUUUUAGAAAAUUUUUAUAUAUAUGUUCAUGAGGUAUAUUGGUGUAUAAUUUUCUUAUACUGUCUUUGUCAGGUUUGGAUAUUAGUGUAAUUCUAGCCUCGUAGAAAGAGUUGAGAGAUAUUCCCUAUUAAAAUUUCUGGAAGAGCUUGUA